AUGGGUUUCCCGAUGCAGCUUACAGCACAGCUGCAGGAACGCUGGCGCUGGCGCGAAGGAGGAGACGGUGGGCGGUGGGAAGCAGCAGCCGGCGAAGAGCAGGGUGGCUUUUUUGGCAGCGGCGUUGGCUCGCACAAGCAAAGGAGUCACCGUAGCUCUCCUGGCGUUCCCGGCAAUAGCAGAGCAGAUCCUGCACGCACGGUGUCCGGCUGUCACCUGCUGACUGAGGCAGGCAACUGCAUGAGCCCUGGCGGUUUUGGCAACGCCGUGCCCUUGCCGGGGCACGUGGGCUCGACGCGAUCCCGAACCGCAUCCGCCGUCGGCGCCGUUCGGUCGUGCUGCAAGCUCUGUCCGACCAUUCCGCUUGCUUAUCUUCCUUAAUUGCCUGCCUGCGUGAGGACACGGAUCCGAAUAGCUGCUACAGAGCAAGCUGCUCUGCCACAGCUCCUCCUGUGCCCAUCCUCCUGUUGAAGAAAUGUCAAAUACUCCACGCUGAGGCGCGCUGAUCAUCUUAAAACAAAAGAGAUCUAGAGUAGGUGUCUGUAGCUUUACAUUUAAUCUCUCCAAACUCAUCUAGCUACCAGCACCUCUCUCAUUUUGGAGCUUAUCAGGGGACAUCUGUUAGCUUUACAUCUACCUAUUUAUUUUUCAAAAAGGGAUUCUUAACAUAGGUCACUUGGGAGGAAUAUAGGAAUGUUGUCAGAGUAUGCAGGGAUGCAACGAGGAAGGCUAAGGCCCAUUUGGAAUUAAAUCUGGCUAGAGAUGUCAAGGACAGCAAGAAGGGCUUCUUCAAAUACAUCAGCAGUAAGAGGAAGACUAGGGAAAAUGUGGGCCCUUUGCUGAAUGGGGUGGGUGCCCUGGUGACGAAGGAUGCAGAGAAGGCAGAGUUACUGAAUGCCUUCUUUGCUUCAGUCUUUACUGCUCAG
rnacentral:lncRNA from 1 species